GAGCCCCGGCGCCUGGUCCGUUUCUAUUUCCCUUUUCUCCACCCUUCCCUUAAGACGCAGAUAAGGGACAAGUCGCACUAAUGUGUGUGAGGUUUCUCCCCCCUCCCCCCGCCCUGCUUGAGAAGGAUCUUUUCUCUCGGGGGUCGAUCGCCUUCCAAUGGGCCGACUUUCACGCCAGCUGCGAGGACCCUGGACUGGGCCUUUCCCAAUCGUAGGACACUGAUUUACCGAAGAAUGACCGCAGCCUUUCCUUCCCCAAACGCUCGCCCCGAAGGGAAACAAAAGGAGCUAGGUGUGCUCAUCGGCACUCCGCUUCCUUGAUUUGGUUUACCUGGGGGAAGGAAAGGGGAGGGCAAGCAGUAAAACCCCUCUCUGCUUGCAGGUGCUUCUUUUGUUUCUGAAAUUCGGGAAAAGCCAGACCUCAACGACUGGGCACUUUAAAAUGUUCCUGUAUCUGUGACAAAAUUGUAUCGUCACAUAUUUCAUUCGUUUCUUCCCCUACAGGGUGCUAAGCUGAGAGGCAAAGGACCAUGAUUUUGCACCACAAAUGUAAUUAAUGCACGUGGGAUAGUCCUAGUCUGCAUAAUCUUGGCAAGACCACAGUUGAUGGGUCUAGUCUACCCUAUUUGGAUUAGCAAAUUAUCCUGCUAAAUUGUUAACUUGCAGUUGAAGAAUUUGGCUCCAGCCUGAUUAUACUAACAGUUUUUAAGAGACACUUAUCAACAGGAGGUUUCUUGCAGAUUCUAUGCUUCCCAGGAGACAUGGAUGAUGUCAUAAGCUAUCAGAUCGCCUUUUCUACAUCAGCCACUAAGUCAUGACUUAACAAAUUCAGACCUGCAAUUGUCCUAGAUGCACCCAGCUAUAUCCCUAGCACUAUUAAUUUUUAGGGAUGAAGCUUGUGAACUUGCAUCAUACUUGAGAAACUGGAGACCAUCUGCAGAGAAUGCCUCAACUUCAGAAGAUCAUUUCUGUGAUCACUUGCUCUUGCAUCUUUCUUGUUUCAAUGGAAGAGAACUCCUAUCAGAAAGAACUCCACCCCUUGUACUCUGGAUCUCAUCCUUCUCUCCUGCUCAAGGACUUGAUUCUUCAAUCAAUGCUUGUGAAGUUUCUUAGAUCUUUUUUUUUUUUCUUUUUAAAGUUUUAAGUAUGUUCCAUGCCCAACAUAGCACUUGAACUCAUUCAUGACCCCGAGAUCAAGGGUCACAUGCUCUACUGCCUGUGAAAUUUCUUAAUU